rnacentral:rRNA from 1 species
UCAGGAUGAACGCUGGCGGCGUGCCUAAUACAUGCAAGUCGAGCGAAUGGAUUGAGAGCUUGCUCUCAAGAAGUUAGCGGCGGACGGGUGAGUAACACGUGGGUAACCUGCCCAUAAGACUGGGAUAACUCCGGGAAACCGGGGCUAAUACCGGAUAACAUUUUGAACCGCAUGGUUCGAAAUUGAAAGGCGGCUUCGGCUGUCACUUAUGGAUGGACCCGCGUCGCAUUAGCUAGUUGGUGAGGUAACGGCUCACCAAGGCAACGAUGCGUAGCCGACCUGAGAGGGUGAUCGGCCACACUGGGACUGAGACACGGCCCAGACUCCUACGGGAGGCAGCAGUAGGGAAUCUUCCGCAAUGGACGAAAGUCUGACGGAGCAACGCCGCGUGAGUGAUGAAGGCUUUCGGGUCGUAAAACUCUGUUGUUAGGGAAGAACAAGUGCUAGUU